GCUGCUGCUACUGUGUUUGGGACUGACACUAGUCUGUGUCCAUGCAGAAGAAGAUAGUUCUAUGGGAAGGAACUUUAAUGUAGAAAAGAUUAAUGGGGAGUGGUUUUCUAUUCUGCUGGUCUCUGACAAAAGAGAAUAGAUAGAAGAACAUGGCAGCAUGGGUCUUUUUCUAGAGCACAUCCAUGUCUUGGGGAAUUCUUUAGCUUUCUAACUCCAUACAUAUACAUGAAGAGUUCUCUGAAAUAUUUUUGGUUGCUGACAAAACAGAAAAGACUGGUGAAUAUUCUGUGAUGUAUGAUGAAUCCAAUACAUUUACUACAAUUAAGACAGACUAUUUCAAUUAUGUUAUGUUUCAUCUCAUUAACAAAAAGGAUGAGAAAAUGUUCCAU
rnacentral:lncRNA from 1 species